rnacentral:rRNA from 1 species
UACGUAGGGCGCAAGCGUUGUCCGGAAUUAUUGGGCGUAAAGAGCUCGUAGGCGGUCUGUUACGUCCGCUGUGAAAACCCAGGGCUUAACCCUGGGCUUGCAGUGGAUACGGGUAGACUAGAGGCAGGUAGGGGAGAAUGGAAUUCCCGGUGUAGCGGUGAAAUGCGCAGAUAUCGGGAGGAACACCGGUGGCGAAGGCGGUUCUCUGGGCCUGACCUGACGCUGAGGAGCGAAAGCUAGGGGAGCAAACGGG